rnacentral:lncRNA from 1 species
GGAAAGUGCAGCACAUCACACUCCAGGGGACCAACGACUGUUCCCUCCCACAGUCACAGCUCCAUCUGCAGUGACUGCUGGACUUGGUCACCAGAAGCUCUUCAUCCCAAAAUUCUGUUUCUUUGAAAUUGGUGGGUGGGAGGUGGGGUGAGGUGGGGCUUGGGUGGUUCUUCAUCAUUUUUCUCUUUCCUCUUGCAGCUCCAGUUUAUCCAUUGUGGAAGGUCUCAGCCAGCCUCUCACCAGAAGAAAUUGCUGAUUGGAAAGCAGUGCCACCUGGUGAGAGACAGGGACAGUGCAAGCAAACAGACGUUAUUUCCUACUGACCUAAUUUAGAGAAAAUUAAGCGUUAGAGAGAAAACAUUUAUGAUUGUUAAGUCUGUGCCAAGAUCUUUAAAGAAUGCAGGCAGCUGGCCAUAAAAUCAGUUUUGAGUAGUCUCUCUGAGCCAUUGUGAUCCCAGUGGUGUAGAAAGUAUAUAAACAUCCCAAAGGCAUUGAUAGUACUUUACAGUUUGCAUUGCACUUUCUUCUGUGUUCAUUUGGUCACCACACCUGUGAAGGGGAUGGGUGACCAAAUCUGUCUUACAGGUUAGGGAUUCAGGGUUCAGGGAGAUCAAGUGGUGCAGACAACGCCAUUGAUGAAGGCUGGACCCCCAACUUCAAUAUCUGCUUCUUUACUGGAACAAGUGCAGUGACUUUUAAGGCUGUAGGACCCACAGAACUAACAACCUCUGGAUUCCUAAGAGAGGGCUGGGCCACAUCCUAAUCAAGUAGGGUGUCUCUGAAGGGUUUCUUCAAAUGGUUGUGGGGAAAAGUUUCCAGAAUUAGGAAACCUUAGGUCUUUCAGAACUGAACUUUAAGCAUUUAUCCAUGUCAGGUAAAUUCAAGGAGUAUCAGUGCUGUCUAUAUUGAAGGUUUAAACAUGCACAGAUACCCUCUGUUGGAAAACAGCUUGGCUCUACAGAGGUUUUUAUUAUCCCUGUGUGUCUUAAGCAUGCAGUGACGAUCCCAUUAGUUGGAAGACUUCAGAAAUGAAGCAGUGGUGCAAGCAGAAAGAAAAAGUACUGAUACCAUAAAGCUCCAACAUUCACAUACGUUUUUCCCAAGCACCUUUCUAUCCACCCACCUCCCAAAGAAAAUCUCCGAAGCAAAGAAUGAUGGUGGAAGUAGCCCUCAUGAAGAAACAGUAACAAUCACCCAAGCGGCUUGUUGAGUGCUAAGAGUGCCACCAGAUGACUUAAUAGUUAAUGAAAAGCUCCACUUUGCUAGCAUGUCGAAGUUAGGUCAUAGUCAUUAUAUGAAAUUGACUGAUUCUGAGUGCCUUCAUAAAAAUCAACUUUUACAAGAAGAGGCAGUAUGACUUGUGAUUUUGUUCCCAAACCCUACCCACUCAAAUGUGACCUUUCUCAGGCUGAUUUACAGAAUGGGCAUAAUAACACUUUGUGGAGUGGAUUAAAUCUGCCAAGUAUAUAAGCACUAAAUGUCUGACACAUAGUAGGCUCUUAAUGUGUGUGUGUGUGUGUGUGUGUACACACUGGGAAUCAAACCUAGGGCCUCACACAUGCUAGGCAAGGGCUCCACCACUGAGCUGUGGCUCCUUCCCCCACACACACACCCAUGUCUCCUCCGUGAAUUUGUAAAGGUAGGUAUCACUUGAAUGUCGAUGAUAGGCCAUUCGCUUGGCUCAUUUCAGCCUCAUAAUAUCCCUGUGAGGUAGGUGCUGUACCCCAUAUUAUAGUUAGGGAUCUUUGGGCACAAAGAUUAACAGCUAAGUGUCCAAGGGCACAGAGCAGUUAAACCCAGGUAGUGUGGCUUUAGGCUGCUGCUCCACAUCUCCUUUGUGUCAGGUUUUAUCUGUCACUGGGGUACAGUCAGCCUUGCACUGGAAUCAGGCAGGCCCUGCCUUGGACAUGAUCAUCUGGAACAACUGGCUUUCCUGGGUCUUUCAUCUCAUCUGAAAGCUACAUGGAUCUCUGAAGUCCCCUAGAGUUCCAAAGUUCUGUGAUUUGAAGCUUGCUUAUUCACUUUAAAUUAUUUUUCAAGGUUUAUGAUUCUUUAGCUUCUUUUUGUUUUGAUGGAAUUGAAGUCCUCUUCUGGUGUGGUCAGGAGCACAAACCCCAACUCUGUUAAGGGCUGUGAGACAGGACAGUGUGUUCAGGCCUUGAGAGAAGACUGAAAUUAGCCAGUCGGUCACUAGGUGGCAGCAUAAGCGAAGCGCUAGCUGCACUUGGCUGUCAGCUGCUGGAGCAGUUUCGGUUCCAUCUUCAUUUUGCUCUUCACUGCUGUAUUGAUAUAGUUUUCAUGGGGGCGGGCUGGGGGGUAGCCAGUUAAACAGUGCUCAUAAAUAUGAAUCAUGCUGAAGGAUGUGGGGCUCAGGUCAGGAAAUUAUAUGAAGUUUUGGAACACAAGUACUGCUUUUGCCCUGUAACAUCCAAGUUGAAUAAUUGUGACAAACAAGGUGUGGCCCUCAAAACCUAAAAUAUUUACUGCCUGUCCCUUUACAGGAAAUAAAAACUCACCAAUCCCUGACAUCUUCCUUAAGUAAAGAGGCACUUCCCAUUGUCUUUAAAGUCCUAUUCUGUGAUUAGGAAUUUGCACCCUCCUUUUUGGUAGUGUUUUCUUAGCACAAAAACAGCGUUGCUUAAGUUACUGGUACUUGCAAACAUUAGCUGGGAGCACAGCCUAGUGAGGGCCACCACCAGCUACAUCAUAGUGACAUGCCCGCAGGUCACCAAGAUGAGAGGUUAAUGCUGCCUGUGGAAAAUUGCCAAGGAUUUCCAAAGGACACAUCGUGUGCCAAAAGGAAGAAGGGAAAUUUUUCCUUCAGAGUGGGGAAAAAUGGCAUCAUCAAAGCUGUGUUUCUGAAAAACUCAUUAUGGGAUAUAUCCAGUAAGAGGAUGAGAAUCUAGAGAGCACUGGCAAGAGCCAGGAAGGAGCAGGCCUGGGUGUGGGUGCCAGACAGGUGAGAGUGGGAAGUGGUUGCAGAUCCUCCUUAACCAAAAGGAGCCAAGAGAAGUAGGGAUUUGGAGGGUUUGUGUUUGUUUUGUUCUUUGGCACUAGGGAUUGAACCCAGAAGUGCUGAGCUACCUCCAGGUCCUUUAUUUUAUUCUGAGACAGGGUCUUGCUAAGUUAGGGAAACUGGCCUCAAACUUGGGAUCCAGCCUCAGACUCCCAAGUCACGAGGAGAUUAUGGGUGUGAGCCAUUGCGUCUAGCUGAGAAAUAGGUUUGGAAGAGAAAGACACGA